UACGUAGGUGGCGAGCGUUGUCCGGAUUUACUGGGCGUAAAGAGCGCGCAGGCGGUCGUACAAGUCGCGUGUGAAAGCCCCUGGCUCAACUGGGGAGGGUCACGCGAUACUGUUCGACUCGAAGGCAGGAGAGGGAAGUGGAAUUCCCGGUGUAGUGGUGAAAUGCGUAGAGAUCGGGAGGAACACCUGUGGCGAAGGCGGCCCCCUGGGCCGGCCCUGACACUGAGACGCGAAGGCGUGGGGAGCGAACGGG
rnacentral:rRNA from 1 species